rnacentral:piRNA from 1 species
UGAAGGUGAUUUAAGAUGGUUCCUUUCGUGU